rnacentral:rRNA from 1 species
AGCGAACGCUGGCGGCAGGCUUAACACAUGCAAGUCGAGCGGGCAUCCUUGUGGUGUCAGCGGCAGACGGGUGAGUAACGCGUGGGAACGUGCCCUUCGGUUCGGAAUAACUCAGGGAAACUUGAGCUAAUACCGGAUACGUGCGAGAGCAGAAAGGUUUAUCUGCCGAAGGAUCGGCCCGCGUCUGAUUAGCUAGUUGGUGAGGUUACGGCUCACCAAGGCGACGAUCAGUAGCUGGUCUGAGAGGAUGAUCAGCCACACUGGGACUGAGACACGGCCCAGACUCCUACGGGAGGCAGCAGUGGGGAAUAUUGACAAUGGGGGCAACCCUGAUCCAGCCAUGCCGCGUGAGUGAUGACGGCCUUAGGGUUGUAAAGCUCUUUUCUCCGGGACGAUAAUGACGGUACCGGAGGAAUAAGCCCCGGCUAACUUCGUG